GCGAUGAGCUGUUUGUGUAAGACGAAGUAUAUGCUUCUUUUUGAAGCUAAACGACGAAUGUGGUCGUCGGUAUAUUCGCGACAAAAAUCGAAAGCCUUUCCUUUAAAGGAAAGGCU
rfam:Halobacillus karajensis, HD-03, WGS project CCDI01000000 data, contig: 000002